GAUGAACGCUGGCGGCGUGCUUAACACAUGCAAGUCGAACGAAGCAAUUUUGAAACUUCGGUUUCAAAAUUGACUUAGUGGCGGACGGGUGAGUAACGCGUAGGUAACCUGCCUUAUACAGGGGGAUAACAGCUGGAAACGGCUGCUAAUACCGCAUAACACAGUGAAGUCGCAUGACUUUAUUGCCAAAGAUUUAUCGGUAUAAGAUGGACCUGCGUCUGAUUAGCUAGUUGGUGAGGUAAUGGCUCACCAAGGCGACGAUCAGUAGCCGACUUGAGAGAGGGGUCGGCCACAUUGGGACUGAGACCCGGCCCAAACUCAUACGGGAGGCAGCAGUGGGGAAUAUUGCAAAAUGGGGGAAACCCUGAGGCAGCGACGCCGCGUGAGUGAUGAAGUAUUUCGGUAUGUAAAGCUCUAUCAGCAGGGACGAAAAAAGACGGUACCUGACUAAGAAGCCCCGGCUAACUACGUGCCAGCAGCCGCGGUAA
rnacentral:rRNA from 1 species